rnacentral:RNase_P_RNA from 1 species
CAGGCCGGACAGCCGCGGCUAUUCGCCCAACGGCGGAUAGAUGAGGAAAGUCCGGGCUCCACAGGGCAGGGGAUAACGGGUAACGCCCGCCGAGGGUGACCUCAGGACAAGUGCAACAGAGAUAUACCACCGCAGGGCUUCGGUUCUGCGGCCAGGGUGAAAAGGUGGGGUAAGAGCCCACCCGGCUUAUGGAGACAUAAGUUUUACGAUGUAAACUCUAUCCCGGAGCAACGCCGUGGAGGGACAUGUGAUCGGCCCGAUCGUCCCGAGGAGGCGGCUUGAUCCCGUGAGCGAUUGCGGGGCUAGAUAGAUGGCUGUCAAGACAGAACCCGGCUUAC